GAUGAAGAACGUAGCGAAAUGCGAUAAGUAAUGUGAAUUGCAGAAUUCAGUGAAUCAUCGAAUCUUUGAACGCACAUUGCGCCCGCCAGUAUUCUAGCGGGCAUGCCUGUCUGAGCGUCAUUUCAACCCUCAUGCCCCUAGGGCGUGGUGUUGGGGAUCGGCCAAAGCCCGCGAGGGACGGCCGGCCCCUAAAUCUAGUGGCGGACCCGUCGUGGCCUCCUCUGCGAAGUAGUGAUAUUCCGCAUCGGAGAGCGACGAGCCCCUGCCGUUAAACCCCCAACUUUCCAAGGUUGACCUCAGAUCAGGUAGGAAUACCCGCUGAACUUAAGCAUAUCAAUAAGCGGAGGA
rnacentral:misc_RNA from 1 species